UGGGGGCUGUUUGGGCCCCAAUUUAUAAAAGGAAAGAUUGAGUUAUGUAAAUACAAACCUUGUUUGGGGUAGUGUUAUUAUAACCCUAGUUCUAGGGUUUCAAAACCUCUAUCGUACUCCUCCUCAACCCAUCUUACCCUUUCCGUUUUCCCUCUCAAUCCUUCUCAACUCCCCCAUAACCUUACCUCUCUCUCUCCCUUAAGUCUGCCGUAAUCUCUCCCUAAAUCCCUCGCCAACUCUCUCUUAGUCUGAGCUCAAUCCCUCAUUUCCACUUUCUUUUGCUUCGUCUUUAUUGUUUAGAGGUUCGUUUUUGUCUUUACCGUUUCAGAAGGUUGGUUAUCUUCUUUCCCAUUUUGAAAUUUGGUUUUCAUCGUUCCCCAUUCCGAAGGUUUGUUGAUUUCUUUCCCUGUUUUGAAGUUCUGUUUCAUUCUCCCCAUUCACUGUCUUUGCUCGUCCUCAACUCCCCCAUUUCAAAGGUUGGUUUUCCUCAUUUCUUCUUGCGUCUUCCAACCCCUCAACCUUGUCCUUAAUGAAUCCAUUUCUUUUUUUCCCCAAUCCCGGAUAUGAGAUGGGUUUACGUUUGUUGAUGGAAGCGUUUAUUUACUUUGCCUCUAAAAUGAUAUACCGUCCACUUUUGGGUUUCGUUGACUGGCUUCAUUUCCACGAUUGAGGCCUCUAAAACCUUUUUCGGUAACAACUAUGGUUCGUCACAUGGCUGGUCUUCUAGUCUUGUCACUCGGACUUUCCCUUGUCACUCGGACUUCCCCUUUAUUGAGAAAUGACGAAUGCUACAUCCUAAGUGGUAGUGGAUCGAUCCGAGCAAGGUAGGGAUUAAGUAUGCCCGAGAUCACAAUUUUUAAUUUACGAGGUACUAAGGUUUCCUUGUUUUAAAUUACUUUUUUUCCUGCGAUUUUUUAAAAAUUCAUUACAACAUUGUAAUAUGUAGGAAAGGUUACCCACACACAGUGACCAUGUAAACUUUGUAAUAGGACUACCAUAUUUUUUUCUAAUGUAGCGUAGAAGUUCAUUGUCCA